rnacentral:rRNA from 1 species
UACAGAGGGUGCUAGCGUUAAUCGGAAUUACUGGGCGUAAAGCGCGCGUAGGUGGUUCAGUAAGUUGGAAGUGAAAUCCCCGGGCUCAACCUGGGAACUGCUUUCAAAACUGCUGAGCUAGAGUACGGUAGAGGGUGGUGGAAUUUCCUGUGUAGCGGUGAAAUGCGUAGAUAUAGGAAGGAACACCAGUGGCGAAGGCGACCACCUGGACUGAUACUGACACUGAGGUGCGAAAGCGUGGGGAGCAAACAGG